AGCAUAUGUCAUUAUCCCAGCCUCAGAUUGGAGGCUGACUUUGGUUCAGAAGUCACAGGCUUCUGAAAACAAAGCCAAAGAGGAAUCAGGGCUGAUACUUUACGGCCAUGAUCUACAGGGCACUGUGGACCCUGUAGGAGUGGAUAUGUGUCCAUAAAGAUAGGGAACUGCGUGUCUGUAAACAUGCAAGGGAAGUGCUGGUUUCAGAUCCAAGGGAAUAGGAGGCUCUAAAAAAGUAAAAUCAACAUCAGCUGGAACCCCAUUGAACAGUUCUA
rnacentral:lncRNA from 1 species